AAUAAAGAAGUUUUUCUCUCAUGUUAUUAUACUAAUAACCAACGAUUUACUUAUCAUUUUCUAUACUUGAUUAAAAAAAUCUAUUAUUUUCAUUUUAUUAUAAAUUAUUAAAGGUGUUUAAAAAAUUAAAUCAUUGAAUAAAGGUACAUUGUUAGCAGGUCUUUUUCGACAUAUUUAGGCCUGCUACUCUAGCACGAAAUAGUAUGCCUUCUCUGGCACGCUUCUUAGGUUUUCUUUCUUUUAUUUUUUUGUUGAUUGUUUGCUUGAUGGCGGUGCGCUUUAAAAACUCUUGUGUCUCUCGUAUAGCAAAGUGGUAUCCAAGAUCGGGCCUUUUGCCUGCAAUCAAUUAAAACCGAAUUAGCGGGAUUAACACUUAAUGAAGAUGAAGAAGCAGUCUUACAAAUUCAAAUAGAGCCGAAUACAGCGGGGGUUUUCAGGUUAGUGGGUUGUUUCUUAACAGCUAGUAUUAUUCACUUCCCAGCAAUGAAAAGCACUAUGACAAACCUGUGGCACCCUGUCCGGGGUGUUCAAUUCGAGAUCUGGGAGAAAAAUUAUUUUUGAUUCAAUUUUAUCAUGUUAUGGAUAUGGAUAGGGUUUUGAAAGGGUUUCCAUGGACAUUUAAUAACCAUCUAUUAGUGUUACACAAAUUACAGUGGGGAGAGGAUCCAUUAAAAGUACCCUUAAUCCUGACCCCUUUUUAGGUACAAAUCCAUGAUGUGCCUAUUGGUCUCUUUUUUGAAAACUUGGCAGUGCAAUUGGGCCACUUUAUAGGGAAAUUUAUAGAAUAUGAUGGAUCGAAUCUAAGGAAAGAAAAUAGAAAUUAUAUGAGAAUAAGAGUUCAGAUUGAUGUGCGGCGUCUGUUAAAAAGGAAAAAUCAGAUUAUGUUUUAUGGAAAUUGCACAUAUGUGAGAUUUAAGUAUGAAAGACUGUCACUAUUCUAUUUCUACUGUGGUCGCUUAGGCCAUAAUGAUUCUUUUUGUGAAGCAAAUAUGGCGCUAGGUGUGGAAAUUGAUGAAAUGGACUGGGAUUUAUCAUUGUGAGCUCAAUUUCGAAGGGCUUUAGCAAUGAACAGUGUUUGGUUGUGAGAAAAAAGUGAAGGGAAAUUGAAUGGAAACCGAGAAGAUAGUUAUAUGACAAGAAAUACUCUGUGGGCAAUUGGAAACAAAAAACUAGGAUAUGAACAGCCUUUUGAUCCGGUUUUGGGAUUCAAUCUGGAAGACAAGUCGGCGUUCUUGAAUUACUUGAGGGAAAAGUUAUUAAUAGAUAAAGCUUUAAUGGAUAUAGAGCAUGACCUAGAAGACAAAGUCUUAAUUGGAGAGAAAAGGAAGAAGAGAGCUAGAGGGGAGAUGGAGAAGCCAAUAGAAAUGGGAGAGAUUAACACUUUGGCGGUAAGAAACAUGAGAUUAUUGGAGAUUAACCACUUAUCAUUGGCGGCUACCAAGAGGCAAGUCGACCGGGCGCAAUAAAAAUCCUAAGUUGGAAUGUCCGUGGAUUGGGGAGUCCAAGAACAGUUCGAAGACUUCGGCAUAUGUUGAAGAUAGAAAAUCCCCAAAUGGUCUUCUUUAUGGAGACGAAGUUAUGCAAAAGUUAGAUGGAAAAAGUUUGGUACAAUUGUGGUUAUGUCAAUGGGAUUAAAGUUGAUCCAGAGGGUACUAAAGGAGGAUUAUGUCUGGAAUGGAGAAAUGAGAUAUGUGUUACACUUCGAAACUAUUCAAAAAGACAUAUUGAUGUGAUGGUCGAUGACAACGAAGUAAGAGGUAAAUAGAGAUUCACUGGCUUCUAGGGUCUCCUUAUAUACAAGAUAAAGAUAUUUCCUAGGCAACGUUGAGGAAUUUAUACAUUGGUGAGGAAAAUCAUUGGUUUGUUUGUGGGGACUUUAAAGAAAUCAUGUAUGGUUUUGAAAAAAAAGGGAGGAUUACCUCGAGAUGAAAGGAGAAUGGAAAUAUUCCACAAUGUUCUGGUAGAUUGUCACUUAACGGAUGUGGGGUUCUCUGGAAAUUAGUUUACUUAGGAGAGGGGAAAUUUACCUGAGACAAAUAUUCGAUAACGGUUAGAUAGAGGAGUUGUAAAUGAAGAAUGGAUAGCCAUGUUUCCUGAGGUAACUAUUCUACACCUAAUCCACUUUUUCUUUGAUCACUGUCCCCUUUUAAUAAAUACAAGAAAGGAUGAAAAAUGGUCGAAUAAGAAAGUAUUUAAGUUUGAAGCCUGGUGGAUAAUGGAAGAGUCGUUUGGUGAAGAGGUUAAAAACAUUUGGGAGACAUCAUCAGGAAAUUUGUUGCAAAAAUUAGAUAAUUUAAAGGAAUGUUCGCAAAAAUAGGCUAGUCGAAUUUGAAUAGACAGACGCAGGCAAAAGGAAUUUCUUACAGCCAGAUUAUCAGAACUUAUAGAAGCCGAAAGAGAUGAUUUUAAUUUGGCUGAGAUGAUUGAUAUGAAGAUUCAAUUAAAUUUUGAAAUCGAAAAGGAUAAAUGCUAUUGGGAACAAAGAGCUCGUGUAAAUUGGUUGAAAUUUGGAGAUAGGAACACAACAUUUUUUUAUAACCAAGCGAUAUAGCGUCGAAGGAGAAACUUUAUUCACAAAUUGAAAAAUGAAGAAAGGAGAGAAAUGGAAAUCAUUCAGGAAAUGGAAGGUAUCGCGAGAUCCUAUUUUCAGAACUUAUUUAUGUCAAAAGCAAGAAGAAACAACAAUCAUUUGCUUGUUAGAUGCAUCUCCGAGGAGGAUAAUCAAAGACUUACGGCGCUAUACACAAUGGAAGAGAUUAAAGAAACAGUGUUUAAAAUAGGACCCACAAAAGCUCUAGGAGAAGAUGGAUUUUCGGCUUUAUUUUAUCAAAAGUGCUAGCACACUAUUGGGGAUGAUGUUAUCAAAUUUUGUUUACAAAUCCUUAAUGAAGGUAUAGAGGUUAAACAGAUUAACUUUACUCAUAUGGUACUCAUUUAAAAAAUUGCCAACCCCUUUAAUAUGAAGUAGUUUAGGCCUAUCCGCUUAUGCAACGUGAUUUAUAAAAUUUUGGCAAAAGUUAUUGAAAAUCGGCUUAGAGGAGUUAUUGAGAAAUGUAUUGAUUUGACUCAGAGCACUUUCGUACCAGGAAGAUUGAUCUCAGAUAAUGUAUUGCUGGCUUAUGAAAUCCUCCAUACACUAAAUUAGAAGAGGCUGAGGAAAAAAAGAUUCAUGGCACUGAAGUUAGACAUAAGUAAAGCUUAUGACAGAGUUGAAUGGAAUUUUAUAAAGGAAAUAAUGAUUCGAAUGGGUUUCGCUAUAAACUGGAUUGAAAUUAUUAUGAAAUGCUUAACCUCUGUUUCCUAUUCAGUUGUGGUUAAUGGAUACACAAGAGAAAAUUUCCAACCAACAAGGGGACUUCGUCAAGGAGAUCAUUGAGUCUGUUUUUAUUUUUCAUAUGCAAAGAAGGUUUAUCCUGCUUAAUGUGACGUGCAGCUAGAGAAGGACUAUUGAAAAGAGUAAAAGCCAGCAGAAGUGGCCCACGGGUAUCGCAUUUGCUAUUUGCAAAUGGUUGUAUCUUAUUUAGUGAGGCGACUAGUAAAAGAGCUACUUUAUUGAAGGGAAUUCUAAGGGAAUAUAGAAUCUGUUUGGGUCAAUGCGUUAACUUUAAGAAAUCAACUAUCUUUUUUAGCAAAAACACAUCAGCAGAAGAUAGACGAGCAGUUGCCAACAUUUUAGGGGUACGAAGCUCAAACGAUCCAUAGCGUUAUCUUGGAUUGCCUAACAUGGUUGGAAGAAAGAAAAGAAAGUCGUUUCAGAAUUUAAAAUAUCGGCUUAAGAAGCGUAUUGAUAAUUAGAGCACUAGACACUUAUCUUAAUGCGAAAAUGAAGUAUUCAUUAAGGCCAAUUUACAAACCAUUCCAACCUAUACAAUGACAUGUUUCUAAUUACUUAAAUCGUUAUGUGCUGAGUUAGAGAGCAUUAUUGCUAAGUUUUGGCGGCAGAAGGGACAAGGCAAAAGGGGAAUACACUGGUGUGCGUGGAGAAACCUUUGUAUUUUAAAGGAAAAAGGGGGUCUGGGUUCUGAAAUAUUAGCCAAUUUAACAUCGCAUUAUUAGCUAAACAAGACUGGCACCUUAUUAAUCAUCCGGAUUCCUUAUUAGUGAGAGUUCUUAAAGCUAAAUAUUCCCGCAUUCAGAUUUUCUUAAUGCCGAAUUAGGAAACUUACCUUCACUUACCUGGAAGAGUAUCUGGGCUGCAAAGGGCUUGUUACAGAAUAGGCUGUACUGGAGAGUUGGAAAGGGAACUAGAAUAUUUGUAUGGGAUGAUCGAUGGAUCCCAGGAAAAGAUACAGAUGAAUGGAGCAACAGAAACGACAAUAAAGGAGUAAAGUUAGUCUCGGACUUAAUUGAAGUCACAAAUAGAACUUGGAAGGCAGAUUUAAUUAAUAGUACCUUUCAAGCAGAUAUAGCUUAAAAAAUUUUGCAGAUCCCUCUUGCGGAAACACAUCAUGACGAUUUUCAAGUGUGGAAAGGAGAAACAUCUGGCGAAUCUUCAGUGAGAAGUGCCUACAAACUAUUACUAGACUCUAGCUCGAAUCCUAAUAAUUUUUUAAUACAGAUCGAUCUAAAAGAUUUCUACAAAAAGCUCUAGAAUCUACAGCUACCUUCAAAAAUUACAAUUACAAUAUGGAGAAUAUCCUAGAAUUAUAUCCCUACUCUAGUCAAUCUAAAGUAUAAACGAGUGACUAAUAAUGCAGUAUGCCCUCGAUGCGGAAAUGGAGAAGAAGACAACACUCAUGUUUUUCGGCAAUGUCCUAUAACAUCAGAGGUAUGGAAAAUGUUAGACCUUUCUUGGGUUAUUAACAGUACGAUUCGUAGUUUCUGAGAUUGGAUUACCUGGGUCUUCAAGAGGAGUAUUUCUGAACAGUGUCGAAUGUUCUGUUGUGGAUUGUGGUUCAUCUAGAGCUCGAGGAAUGAACUCAUUCAUGAAAGGAAGUCAGAGACAGGGAGAGAGUUAUCACAAAAAGCUGAAAGAUACAUGGCCGAACUUGAAGGUUUGAUAGAAAGAAUGAGUACCUUGAAUACGGAUAGAAACCAUAGCUAAACGAGAGGCUAAUGCUAGGGUGACAAUUCAAUUUGACGCAGCCUUUGGCAAAAGAAAUUUCAAAUCGGUAUCGAGUCUGGUGGUUUGGGGCCAGUCAGGGAAAUUCCUAACAACGAAGACUGUAUCGAAUACGAACAUUUCAUCUCCAUUUGCAGUAGAAGCUUAUGCAGGACUACAGGCUCUAAAGCUAAGAAUCUCAAUGGAUCUCCUCUCAAUAAAGAUAAUGGAGGACUCUCGUACAGUUUUCAAGAAAUGCCAAUCAAUGAAACUAGAUAAAUCAAUUAUAAAGGCGAUCAUCAGUGAUAUUCAAAGUAAGAAGAUUUGUUUUCAAGAAAUCAGUUUUUAGUUUAUUAACAGAAUAGAAAAGUUUAUGCCCACAAAAUUACAGCAGAAUCUUUAAAGAAAGGAAAGGAAAUACACCUGAUGAGAGUGACUUCAGAUCUUAACCAUUCAAAUCCGGAGGGACGCUAGAGAAAGAACCCAGAUUAAGGCUUAUUUUGUGAAGGAAGAAAAAAAUCGGAUAACAGGCAAAGUAAGAUAUUGAAAAGGCUAUCGACUGAACAGAUGGGACAAGGGAUGUAAAAAGACGAUGAAAGGAAGCGUCCAACUGUUCUUGAAAUCGACUAGACAUAAUUACAUUAGGUUUCCUUUUCCGUAGCAUUAAAU
rnacentral:lncRNA from 1 species